rnacentral:rRNA from 1 species
UACGUAGGGGGCAAGCGUUGUCCGGAAUCACUGGGCGUAAAGCGCGCGCAGGCGGCUAUCUACGUCCGGGGUGAAAGCCCAGAGCUCAACUCUGGGACUGCCUUGGAUACGGGAUCGCUUGAGGAUCGGAGAGGCAAGGGGAAUUCCACGUGUAGCGGUGAAAUGCGUAGAGAUCGGGAGGAACACCAGUGGCGAAGGCGGCCUUCUGGACCAAUACUGACGCUCAUGCACGAAAGCGUGGGGAGCAAACAGG